rnacentral:rRNA from 1 species
CCUACGGGGGGCUGCAGUGGGGAAUAUUGGACAAUGGGGGGAACCCUGAUCCAGCCAUGCCGCGUGUGUGAAGAAGGCCCUCGGGUUGUAAAGCACUUUCAGUGAGGAAGAACGCCUGGUGGUUAAUACCCAUCAGGAAAGACAUCACUCACAGAAGAAGCACCGGCUAACUCCGUGCCAGCAGCCGCGGUAAUACGGAGGGUGCGAGCGUUAAUCGGAAUUACUGGGCGUAAAGCGCGCGUAGGUGGCUUGAUAAGCCGGUUGUGAAAGCCCCGGGCUCAACCUGGGAACGGCAUCCGGAACUGUCAAGCUAGAGUGCAGGAGAGGAAGGUAGAAUUCCCGGUGUAGCGGUGAAAUGCGUAGAGAUCGGGAGGAAUACCAGUGCCGAAGGCGGCCUUCUGGACUGACACUGACACUGAGGUGCGAAAGCGUGGGUAGCAAACAGGAUUAGAUACCCGAGUAGUC